GGGGAAUCUUCCGCAAUGGACGAAAGUCUGACGGAGCAACGCCGCGUGAGUGAAGAAGGUUUUCGGAUCGUAAAACUCUGUCUUUUAGGGCGAACGUAUUGCUGGUGAACAAUCAGCGAUAGUGACGGUACUAAAGGAGGAAGCCACGGCUAACUACGUGCCAGCAGCCGCGGUAAUACGUAGGUGGCGAGCGUUGUCCGGAAUUAUUGGACGUAAAGCGCGCGUAGGCGGGAUAGUCAGUCUGUUGUAAAAGUGCGGGGCUCAACCCCGUAAGGUCAAUGGAAACUGCUAUUCUUGAGUGCAGGAGAGGAAAGUGGAAUUCCCAGUGUAGCGGUGAAAUGCGUAGAUAUUGGGAGGAACACCAGUGGCGAAGGCGACUUUCUGGACUGUGUCUGACGCUGAGGCGCGAAAGCCAGGGGAGCGAAC
rnacentral:rRNA from 1 species